rnacentral:rRNA from 1 species
UGGUGACUGAGUGGCGGACGGGUGAGUAACGCGUGGGUAACCUGCCCUGUACAGGGGGAUAACAGCUGGAAACGGCUGCUAAUACCGCAUAAGCGCACGAGGAGACAUCUCCUUGUGUGAAAAACUCCGGUGGUACAGGAUGGGCCCGCGUCUGAUUAGCUGGUUGGCAGGGUAACGGCCUACCAAGGCAACGAUCAGUAGCCGGUCUGAGAGGAUGAACGGCCACAUUGGAACUGAGACACGGUCCAAACUCCUACGGGAGGCAGCAGUGGGGAAUAUUGCACAAUGGGGGAAACCCUGAUGCAGCAACGCCGCGUGAGUGAAGAAGUAUUUCGGUAUGUAAAGCUCUAUCAGCAGGGAAGAUAAUGACGGUACCUGACUAAGAAGCUCCGGCUAAAUACGUGCCAGCAGCCGCGGUAAUACGUAUGGAGCAAGCGUUAUCCGGAUUUACUGGGUGUAAAGGGUGCGUAGGUGGCAGUGCAAGUCAGAUGUGAAAGGCCGGGGCUCAACCCCGGAGCUGCAUUUGAAACUGCAUAGCUAGAGUACAGGAGAGGCAGGCGGAAUUCCUAGUGUAGCGGUGAAAUGCGUAGAUAUUAGGAGGAACACCAGUGGCGAAGGCGGCCUGCUGGACUGUUACUGACACUGAGGCACGAAAGCGUGGA